CCAGGAAAGAUGUGGCACUGACUUCCCACCUGGGCAUCUCAGGCAUAUGACUUGGAUCUUGUUGUGGUCCAACUUAGGUGGCAUGGUGGGGGCAGCUGGUGUCGAGAACCUGGAAUCGGGGUGACCGAAGAAAGUUGAAAUGCUAGCAAGCAUUUUGUCUUCGAAUUGUCUAUAGACGCCCUAAAUUGCCUAGCUCAGUAUUUGGGAAAUGUGCAAUAACUGGAGGCACCGGAGUGACCACGUUAAUCCCCAGAGUCUCCACUACAGCACUGGACCAUGGACAGCCAUGGGGACAGGGCAGUGUUUAUGGGAUCCACAGCUGUUCUCAGGUGCAAGCGUGUGAAUGCACGUGUAUGGUUCAUAGAGUUUUGAAUUCCUAGUCAAGUUUUAAAAAAUCUUCAGAUGAAAAAUGAAAAUAGCAUCUGAUUAAUAGCAUCUGUUUUAGUCUUUGAGGGUUCUCUUUAAAGUCUUUGAUAGACCGCCAAUGAACAUCAUGCCUUUCCCCAAGGGUACAAAAACAAAUAUUAUGAAUAAAUAUUGCUUUCAUUCAUAAGGAA